rnacentral:lncRNA from 1 species
AUUUAUUUUAUUGAAAGUGAGAGGAAAUUGAUUUAUUGUUUGAAAAUAAAUUUGUAUCCGUGUUUAAGGAAGAGAUUUUCGAUUUCUUCGGAGAAAGUAGAAUUCUUUGUGUCUCACUGGUAGUUUGAACUUAAAACAAAAAUAGCUGGAUCUUCUAAUUGCAAGUAAAUAUUUUUUGUAUCGUUUUAAGUUUCUUGCUUCUUUCGUUUAAAAAUGAUUUUUUACAAUGUCCCAGUUUGAAAGUGAGCAAGCAAGUAAAUAUGAUCCGAUACAUUAGUUUGAAAGAAAAAGUUACUUUGAUGACACACUUUCUCUUGAAGAGUCGACAAACUUUCUUACAUAGAGUUGACAAAUUAGCGCAGAAAUAAAACAUGGAUGCUUGGUUAUCGGGAUAUUUAUCUUAUGUGAGAAAGGUUGUAAUUCUUCAUUUUGAAUCCACGGAAAAAGGUUUUCAAUUUUUCGAAGACAAUUGAAUUCUUUGUGUCCAUCCGGUACUUUGAACUUAAAAAAAAUGUGAUUGGAUCUUCUGACUUUGAGUAUAUUUUUUUUGGUAUUGCUUUAAGUUUCUUGCUUCUUUCAUUGAAAAAUAAAUUUUUACGGUGUCCCAGUUUGGAAUGUAAGCAAGGAAGUAAAUGUCCCUAUAUAUUAGUUUGAAAGAAAAAGUUACUUUGAUGAUACACUUUGUCUUGAAGAUUCAGCUAACUUUCUUACCGAGUGUUGACAAAUUGGCACAGACAUAAAACAUGGAUGCUUGGUUAUCGGGAUAUUUACUUAUAUGAGAAAGGUUGUAAUUCUUCAUUUUGAACCCACGGAAAAGGUUUUUGAUUUUUUCGGAGACAAUUGAAUUCUGUGUCUGUCCAGGAGUUUGAAUUUUUAAAAAAAUGUGGCUGGAUCUUCUAACUUAAAGUAAAUAUUUUUUGGUAUCGCUUUAAGUUUCAUUCUUCUUUCAUUGAAAAAUAAAUUUUACGGUGUACCAGUUUGGAACGUUAGCAAGUAAAUAUGUCUCAAUAUAUUAGUUUGAAAGAAAAAGUUACUUUGAUGAUACACUUUGUCUUGAAGAGUCGUCUAACUUUCUCACAUAGGGUUGACAAAUUAGCGUAGACAUUAAAUAUAAAUGUUUGGUUAUGGUGUUCAUCUUAUGUGAGAAUGGUUGGCGUUCUUCAUUUUUAAACCAUAUCAGGUAACUAGAUUUGUUUUUGUUCGUCAGUAAAAGUGCCUUAAUUUAUUUUAUUGAAAGUGAGAGGAAAUUGAUUUAUUGUUUGAAAAUAAAUUUGUAUCCGUGUUUAAGGAAGAGCUUUUCGAUUUCUUCGGAGAAAGAAGAAUUCUUUGUGUCUCACUGGUAGUUUGAACUUAAAACAAAAAUAGCUGGUUCUUCUAAUUGCAAGUAAAUAUUUUUUUGUAUUGUUUUAAGUUUCUUGCUUCUUUCGUUUAAAAUGAUUUUUUACAAUGUCCUAGUUUGAAAAGUGAGCAAGCAAGUAAAUAUAAUCCGAUACAUUAGUUUGAAAGAAAAAGUUACUUUGAUAACACACUUUCUCUUGAAGAGUCGACAAACUUUCCUACAUAGAGUUGACAAAUUAGCGCAGACAUAAAACAUGGAUGCUUGGUUAUCGGGAUAUUUAUCUUAUGUGAGAAAGGUUGUAAUUCUUCAUUUUGAACCCACGGAAAAGGUUUUCAAUUUUUUCGGAGACAAUUGAAUUCUUUGUGUCCGUCCGGUACUCUGAACUUAAAAAAAAUGUAAUUGGAUCUUCUGACUUCGAGUAAAUAUUUUUUGGUAUGGCUUUAAGUUUCUUGCUUCUUUCAUUGAAAAAUAAAUUUUUACGGUGUCCCAGUUUGGAAUGUAAGCAAGGAAGUAAAUGUCCCGAUAUAUUAGUUUGAAAGAAAAAGUUACUUUGAUGAUACACUUUGUCUGGAAGAUUCGGUUAACUUUCUCACAUAGUGUUGACAAAUUGGCACAGACAUAAAACAUGGAUGCUUGGUUAUUGGGAUAUUUACUUAUGUGAGUAAGGUUGUAAUUCUUCAUUUUGAACCCACAGAAAAGGUUUUUGAUUUUUUCGGAGACGAUUGAAUUCUUUGUCCGUCCAAGAGUUUGAAUUUAAAAAAAAAUGUUGGUGGAUCUUCUAACUUCAAGUAAAUAUUUUUUGGUAUCGCUUUAAGUUUCAUUCUUCUUUAAUUGAAAAAUAAAUUUUUACGGUGUCCCUGUUUAGAACGUAAGCAAGUAAAUAUGUCUCAAUAUAUUAGUUUGAAAAAAAAAGUUACUUUGAUGACACAUUUUGUCUUGAAGAGUCGUCUAACUUUUUCACAUAGGGUUGACAAAUUAAUGCAAACAUAAAACAUGGAUGUUUUGUUGUCGAGAUAUUUAUCUUAUGUGAGAAUGGUUGUCGUUCUUCAUUUUUAAGCCACAUCAGGUGACUAGAUUUAUUUUUGUUCGUCAAUAAAACUACUUUAAUUUAUUUUACUGAAAGUGAGAGAAAAUUGAUUUAUUGUUUGAAAAUAAAUUUCUAUCCGUGUUUAAGGAAGAACUUUUCGAUUUCUUUGGAGAAAGUAGAAUUCCUUGUGUCUCACUGGUAGUUUGAACUUAAAACAAAAAUAGCUGGAUUUUCUAAUCGCAAGUAAAUAUUUUUUUGUAUCGUUUUAAGUUUAUUGCUUCUUUCGUUUAAAAAUGAUUUUUUACAAUGUCCCAGUUUGAAAAGUGAGCAAGCAAGUAAAUAUGAUCCUAUACUUUAGUUUGAAAGAAAAAGUUACUUUGAUGACACACUUUCUCUUGAAUAGUCGGCAAACUUUCUCACAUAGAGUUGACAAAUUAGCGCUGAUGUAAAACAUGAAUGCUUGGUUAUCGGAAUAUUUAUCUUAUGUGAGAAAGGUUGUAGUUCUUCAUUUUGAACCCACGGAAAAGGCUUUCGAUUUUUUCGGAGACAAUUGAAUUCUUUGUGUCCGUUCGGUACUUUGAACUUAAAAAAAUGUGAUUGGAUCUUUUGACUUCAAGUAAAUAUUUUUUGGUGUCGCCCUAAGUUUCUUGCUUCUUUCAUUGAAAACUAAAUUUUUACGGUGUCCCAAUUUGGAACGUAAACAAGUAAGUAAAUAUGUCUCAAUAUAUUAGUUUGAAAGAAAAAGUUACUUUGAUGACACACUUUGUCUUGAAGAGUCGGUUAACUUUCUCAUAUAGUGUUGAUAAAUUAGCGUAGACCUAAAACAUGAAUGUUUGGUUAUAGAGAUAUUCAUCUUAUGUGAGAAAUGUUGUCGUUUUUCAUUUUGAAGCCACAUAAGGUAACUAGAUUUAUUUUGUUCGUUAGUAAAAGUGCUUUAAUUUAUUUUAUUAAAAGUGAGAGCAAAUUGAUUUAUUGUUUGAAAAUAAAUUUGCGUCCGUGUUUAAGGAAGAGCUUUUCAAUUUCUUCAGAGAAAGUAAAAUUUCUUGUAUCUCACUAAUAGUUUGAACUUAAAACAAAAAUAGCUAGAUCUUCUAAUUGCAAAUAAAUAUUUUUUUGUAUCGUUUUAAGUUUCUUGCUUCUUUCGUUUAAAAAUGAUUUUUUACAAUGUCCCAGUUUGAAAAGUGAGCAAGCAAGUAAAUAUGUUCCAAUAUAUUAGUUUGAAAGAAAAAAUUACUUUGAUGUCACACUUUCUCUUGAAGAGAUGACAAACUUUCUCACAUAGAGUUGACAAAUUAACACAGACAUAGAACAUGAAUGCUUUGUUAUCGAAAUAUAUAUCUUAUGUGAGAGAGGUUGUCGUUCUUCAUUUUGAACCCACAAAAAUGGUUUUCGAUUUUUUCGGAGACAGUUGAAUUCUUUGUGUCCGUCCAGUAGUUUGAACUUAAAAAAAAAAUGUCGCUGGAUCUUCUGGCUUCAAGUAAAAUUUUUUUGGUAUCGCUUUAAGUUUCAUGCUUCUUUCAUUUCAUUGAAAAAUAAAGUUUUACGGUGUCCCAGUUUGGAAUGUAAGCAAGUAAAUAUGUCCCGAUAUAUUAGUUUGAAAGAAAAAGUUACUUUGCUGACACACUUUGUAUUGAAGAGUCAGCUAACUUUCUCAUAUAGAGUUGACAAAUUAGCACAAACAUUAAAUAUGAAUGUUUGGUUAUCGGGAUAUUCAUUUUAUGUGAGAAUGGCUGGCGUUCUUCAUUUUUAAACCAUACUAGGUAACUAGAUUUGUUUUUGUUCGUCAGUAAAAGUGCCUUAAUUUAUUUUAUUGAAAGUGAGAGAAAAUUGAUUUAUUGUUUGAAAAUAAAUUUGCGUCCGUGUUUAAGGAAGAGCUUUUUGAUUUCUUCGGAGAAAGUAGAAUUCCUUGUGUCUCACUGGUAGUUUGAACUUAAAACAAAAAUAGCUAAAUCUUCUAAUUGCAAGUAAAUAUUUUUUUAUAUCGUUUUAAGUUUCUUGCUUCUUUUGUUUAAAAAUGAUUUUUUACAAUAUCCCAGUUUGAAAAGUGAGCAAGCAAGUAAAUAUGAUCCGAUACAUUACUUUGAAAGAAAAA